rfam:Populus trichocarpa isolate Nisqually-1 chromosome 10, whole genome shotgun sequence.
UAAUCUGUCUAGAGUAGAUCCUCAUCUAGUUAUGGUAGACUCACAUUUGACGACUCAGAAUCACUCGUUAUCAUAAGCUUGACUACAUCACAUUAGUGGAUGAACAAGAAAAAAACAAACAUUCUUGAAGCAAUUAACAUUUAUAUUGUUG